rnacentral:rRNA from 1 species
AGUGGCGGACGGGUGAGUAACGCGUGAGAAUCUGCCUUGGGGUCGGGGACAACCACUGGAAACGGUGGCUAAUACCGGAUAAGCCGAUUGGUGAAAGAUUUAUUGCCCGAAGAGGAGCUCGCGUCUGAUUAGCUAGUUGGUGAGGUAAGAGCUCACCAAGGCAGCGAUCAGUAGCUGGUCUGAGAGGACGAUCAGCCACACUGGGACUGAGACACGGCCCAGACUCCUACGGGAGGCAGCAGUGGGGAAUUUUCCGCAAUGGGCGAAAGCCUGACGGAGCAAGACCGCGUGAGGGAGGAAGGCUCUUGGGUUGUAAACCUCUUUUCUCAGGGAAGAAGCUCUGACGGUACCUGAGGAAUCAGCCUCGGCUAACUCCGUGCCAGCAGCCGCGGUAAUACGGAGGAGGCAAGCGUUAUCCGGAAUUAUUGGGCGUAAAGCGUCCGCAGGUGGCGAUUCAAGUCUGCUGUCAAAGCACGGGGCUUAACUCCGUAAAGGCAGUGGAAACUGAAUAGCUAGAGUGCCGUAGGGGUAGAGGGAAUUCCCGGUGUAGCGGUGAAAUGCGUAAAGAUCGGGAAGAACAUCGGUGGCGAAAGCGCUCUACUGGACGGCAACUGACACUCAGGGACGAAAGCUAGGGGAGCGAAUGGGAUUAGAUACCCC